AAGAUCAUCAAUUGAGGGCAUUUUCUUGAACCUCUCCCAGCAGCAUUUUCUUUCUUCCGUUGCACACAUUCUCUCUCUCCUCUCCUCCUCUCUCCCCCCUCCCCUCCCCCCCCCCCCCCCCCCCCCCCCCCCCCCCAUCUAGAAAAAGCCCCCCUUUGGCCGGUUUUGACUAGGGACUGGGACAUCCUUAAACCCUUUUGAGAGCUGUCAACGAAAGUCGCGGGCUUUUCGCUUCUUGCUGUCUGAUUUCAUCUGGGUUUCGAGGACUUUGCCGGUGUAAGCUUUGGGAGGAGCUUCCAUGGAUUCUCAGGUCAUGGUGGCUCUUGCGCUCUCACUUGUGGGCGGGCUCAGUACCUCCGUAGGUGCACUCUUUGUAAUUCUCUAUGAAGCUCCCAAUUUAAAGAUGCUUGGGCUGCUGCAGGGGUUCGCUGCUGGUCUGAUGCUCAGCAUUUCAUUCCUAGAUCUAGCCCACAAUGCAAUGAACUCUAUUGGCUUUCUAAAAGGAAACCUUUGGUUUUUCGCUGGUGUCAUAUUCUUUGCUCUUGUUGUCAACUUUAUCCCUGAACCAUCUAUGUCUCCAAGUUCAGAUGCUAAGGAAAAGAAGAAAAGUGGUGAUCACGGUGGUAAGGACAUGAUAAAGAAGCAUCGGCGCCAAGUUUUGUUCAGCGGUAUUAUUACGGCAAUAGGCAUUAGCUUGCACAACUUGCCCGAAGGAAUGGCUGUUUUCCUUGGUUCCCUUAAGGGUCUUCGCGUGGGUCUUAAUUUGGCCUUGGCUAUAGCUCUGCAUAACAUACCAGAGGUUGGACAGAAUUUUAGCAGUUUCUGGCCUCUCUUGAUGUUAAUAGAUGCAUUUCUCUUGCUCAGAAUUUCCCUAGUGAAGGUACUUGGCUGCUAUUACUUUGUCCUAACUUCAUGCUCUCUUUGUACAGGGUGUGGCUGUUGCACUUCCUGUUUAUUUCGCUACACAGAGCAAAUGGCAGGCAUUCAAGCUUUCCACACUGUCUGGUUUUGCAGAGCCUUUGGGUGUCAUAAUCGUGGCAUAUCUAUUUCCAAGCAGCUUAGACCCUGAGAUUCUCGAAGGCCUCCUGGGUGCAGUUGGCGGAGUAAUGGCCUUCCUGACAUUGCACGAGAUGCUUCCGCUGGCAUUUGAUUAUGCUGGACAGAAGCAAGCUGUGAAAGCUGUGUUCUUCGGGAUGGCUUUUAUGUCUGCAAGCCUGUACCUGUUAGAAAUCAGCUUACCCAAGGAGAUGAGCUUAUAACCGAAUCAGAAUCCGGAACAUUGCUAUGAACAAGCCCAAGGAGCCUCACAUAGGACAAUCUUUUCUCAGUAGCAGAAAGCCCGACUGAAACUCAGAGAUGAACUUGCACCCGAGAACCUCAGGCUUCUCAGGUGCUGCCAAAAUCAUGCCUGCCAAUGUAACAGCAUUUUCUAUUGAUUUGUACAGAUAUGUUAACAUUUAAAGAAAAUUUCGCUGGCUUGUUAUCAUCCUAUCAGACAUUCGAAACAUCUGUCCAACUGAAUGAAAGCUGAUUGUCUGCAAAUUCUGUCGUCGGAAAAGUUCUCUUUUCCACAGAGACGUUUUCCCUUCUCUCCUUGUUGAGAGAGAAGGAGGGGAAAUGUACAAUUAGUUGAUUGCGUGAAACUCUACUACCGAAUGAUAAGUGUUCGACUA